AUGUGCCAUGGGAUCACAGCUCCACACACCGGGAUCUGGGAUUCCCACCCUCCACCCUGCUCCCCUCCCUCACUCUGCACCCAGGGGCCCCCACAGGAGCUGGGACACUGGGAAGGGGCACCCGAUGUGACAGUGAUGGGGACACUCCAACACCACGGGGUUUUCCCAUGCCCAAGGAGCCCAUUCCAUUCUUCCCACAUCCCACCCAGGACAGGCGUGCCACGACCCAGGGAUUGCCCAGGACUGGCCAAAGGGAUGAGGUUCAGCUCUAACGGUGCCCAGGACCCCCUUCCCUCCCAUCCCAGUGUGGAGCAGUUGGCACAGCGGGAUCACCAGAUCCCCAGAUGGAUGCCCAGGCAGGCAGAGCCACUGCACAGAACAUUCCAGAACCAUCCCCAGGAACCCGGCCUUGCUGCUCUUGGCCUUGACCCUGGAGAUAAAAACCCAGCUCCUGCUGCUCCCAGUGCCCCUUCCCAAGCUUCUCACAAGAUCCAAGUGUGUGUGGAUGAAUAUCCAUGCAAUGACACAGAUCUGUGUCCAGGCACACCCUCAGCAGCCCCAGGGCACCCUGUGAUUAGGGGAGAUUCCAAGGAGGCAGGAGGGAAGCACGGAGCAGGACCUGGAGGGAGCCGUCAUCACUUGGGCAGGAGCCCAGCAGGGCCAGGGCAUGAGGGGACACAGGGACAGGGAAUCCCAUGCUCAGAAGCCAAGAGAGCCUGCUCCAGCCCUGGGAAGCCUUUCCUGGAGCACAGGGAGAAGGAAAACCCCAGGUGGGGCACUCCAAGCCCCCACACCCGCUGUGUCUCCAGAGGGAUGGGAAGCUCUGCCUCAGAAGGAUUUCCCAUUCCUGGAUUGCCCACACAAGCACUGGAGGCAGCCAGGAAGCGGCUCUGGCUCUGCUCAGAGCUGCACACCCCGGCAGCCCAGGCAGCAGGAGCUGGGUCUGGGUCAGGCCCUGCCUGGGGGGAAGAACAGCCCAGGGGAGUGGAGAGGUGGAAUGAACUGAGAGCCUCAAUCCAGCUGUGGAGGGAUCAUCCACAGGCACCCAACCCAUGGAAUCCGUGCAUCUCCACAGGUCUGACCAGCCCCAGUGAUGUGUCUCAGCACUAA
rnacentral:lncRNA from 1 species